rnacentral:rRNA from 1 species
UGCGUAGGCGGUUUUAUAAGUUAGAGGUGAAAUUUCGGUGCUCAACACCGACACUGCCUCUAAUACUGUAGGACUAGAGAGUAGUUGCGGUAGGCGGAAUGUGUAGUGUAGCGGUGAAAUGCUUAGAGAUUACACAGAACACCGAUUGCGAAAGCAGCUUACCAAGCUAUAUCUGACGUUGAGGCACGAAAGCGUGGGGAGCAAACAGGAUUAGAUACCCCCGUA